GACUUUUAGUGGUGGAUCACUCGGCUCGUGCAUUGAUGAAGAAUGCAGCUAGCUUCAAGAAUUAAUUUGAAUUGCAGGACACAUUGACCAUGGACACUUCAAACACACUUGCAGCCCCAGGUUCCUCCUGGGGCCACACCUGUCUGAGUGUCA
ensembl:rRNA 5_8S_rRNA 5.8S ribosomal RNA